rnacentral:rRNA from 1 species
AAACGACUCUCGGCAACGGAUAUCUCGGCUCUCGCAUCGAUGAAGAACGUAGCGAAAUGCGAUACUUGGUGUGAAUUGCAGAAUCCCGUGAACCAUCGAGUCUUUGAACGCAAGUUGCGCCCGAAGCCACUCGGCCGAGGGCACGUCUGCCUGGGCGUCACG